rnacentral:rRNA from 1 species
UAGCCGGCCUGAGAGGGCGACCGGCCACAUUGGGACUGAGAUACGGCCCAGACUCCUACGGGAGGCAGCAGUGGGGAAUAUUGCACAAUGGGCGCAAGCCUGAUGCAGCGACGCCGCGUGAGGGAUGGAGGCCUUCGGGUUGUAAACCUCUUUUAUCGGGGAGCAAGCGAGAGUGAGUUUACCCGUUGAAUAAGCACCGGCUAACUACGUGCCAGCAGCCGCGGUAAUACGUAGGGUGCAAGCGUUAUCCGGAAUUAUUGGGCGUAAAGGGCUCGUAGGCGGUUCGUCGCGUCCGGUGUGAAAGUCCAUCGCUUAACGGUGGAUCCGCGCCGGGUACGGGCGGGCUUGAGUGCGGUAGGGGAGACUGGAAUUCCCGGUGUAACGGUGGAAUGUGUAGAUAUCGGGAAGAACACCAAUGGCGAAGGCAGGUCUCUGGGCCGUUACUGACGCUGAGGAGCGAAAGCGUGGGGAGCGAACAGGAUUAGAUACCCUGGUAGUCCACGCCGUAAACGGUGGAUGCUGGAUGUGGGGCCCGUUCCACGGGUUCCGUGUCGGAGCUAACGCGUUAAGCAUCCCGCCUGGGGAGUACGGCCGCAAGGCUAAAACUCAAAGAAAUUGACGGGGGCCCGCAC